rnacentral:rRNA from 1 species
UACGUAGGCAGCAAGCGUUGUUCGGAGUUACUGGGCGUAAAGAGUGCGUAGGUGGUGCCCUAAGUCUGUUGUGAAAUCUCCCGGCUUAACUGGGAGGGUGCGGUGGAAACUGGGGUGCUUGAGUGUGGGAGAGGUGAGCGGAACUGAUGGUGGAGCGGUGAAAUGCGUUGAUAUCAUCAGGAACACCAGUGGCGAAAGCGGCUCACUGGGUCUUUCCUAACGCUGAGGCACGAAAGCUAGGGGAGCGAACGGG